UCUAACUAGAGUUUAUUUUGUCACAUGGCAAUCUAAACCACGUGCACCACCAAAGGUUCGAGUGACGGCCGGCGUUAGUACGACUCUGAGCGUUACGUCAUCGAUCCCUGAGACAGGUCUGGCUUGGCGCGAGGAUGGGUGAAGGCUGUUGGAAUUGUCAGUUGGCUGUGUCUUUCCUAUGUCUCAUACUUAUCUUUAUAAGCUUUGACUCUAUAAGAAUUUGAACUCCCUGCUAUAUGUCUUCACACAUAUAGUAACGCAUCUCGCUGCACAACUCUGAUGAAACUCUUUAUUCAACUUGCUUAUGCCUGUAAUAUCCCUUAAGGGAAAUACUUCUCAAACCCUUGCUAAGUUUCAAUUGCUUAAUUAUGUUUA